AUGAACGCUGGCGGCGUGCCUAAUACAUGCAAGUCGCGCGAACAGACGAGGAGCUUGCUCCUCUGACGUUAGAGGCGGACGGGUGAGUAACACGUGGAUAACCUACCUAUAAGACUGGGAUAACUUCGGGAAACCGGAGCUAAUACCGGAUAAUAUAUUGAACCGCAUGGUUCAAUAGUGAAAGACGGUUUUGCUGUCACUUAUAGAUGGAUCCGCGCCGCAUUAGCUAGUUGGUAAGGUAACGGCUUACCAAGGCGACGAUGCGUAGCCGACCUGAGAGGGUGAUCGGCCACACUGGAACUGAGACACGGUCCAGACUCCUGCGGGAGGCAGCAGUAGGGAAUCUUCCGCAAUGGGCGAAAGCCUGACGGAGCAACGCCGCGUGAGUGAUGAAGGUCUUCGGAUCGUAAAACUCUGUUAUUAGGGAAGAACAAAUGUGUAAGUAACUAUGCACGUCUUGACGGUACCUAAUCAGAAAGCCACGGCUAACUACGUG
rnacentral:rRNA from 1 species